ensembl:lncRNA LINC00299 long intergenic non-protein coding RNA 299
ACACACGGCCCAAGAGAUUGAUUACCUGGGCUCUGGCAGCCUCUCUGGUGACAGUGACAGGGACUGGGAACCUGGGAGCUUCUCAGCAUCUCCUUUUCACACUCUGCCUCUGAGCAGCUGGGAAUCCUUACCCCUCCAAUCUCCUGACUGCUCAUCUCCCUGGAGCCAGGACCCUGAAUCAGUAUUCACGGCCUGUUAGUGGCUUGCAAGGCAGAGCAGACAGAUGGACGUGCUCGGGAAGCCUAUUGAUCAGCCCUUGGUGUGACCUGCCCAGACCUGGUUCUGUUUCAAGCACUGAUCACGUGGACAAGGAGUCCUUAAUUCCUCUCAGCACCAUUUGAGAUGAGCAACUACACAAGACAAAGACGAAAGGCUUUUUCAGCUCAAAAAUCCUGUGAUUCUUUGAUUCUAAGAAGAGAUUUUCUUACAAGGAGUUUGCCUAAGGUACUCACUGUGCUGUGAUGGUUUGAAUGCAGGUUUGGCCUCCUCUCCAGCCUGUGACUACUGGGAAGACAGGGCACCUGUCCUAUUCACCUUUGUAUCUCUGGUGUCUCACUCAGGAUCCGGCACAGUGCUUGCCAAGGACCUGCUAUGCGCCAGGGGCUGCUGGAGCUGGGAACCUAAUGAUCACAGUGUCAGCCUCUGCCAGCCUUUGUGUGUGUGGCAGGGGUUGUUUUGAGUCCCACCAUCUUCCAUCCCUGAUGCUUGGAGAAGCUGAGGACACACAGGUUUCCAAGAUAUAAAUUUUGAGGCCCAGAAUUUUUAGGAGUAUUUUAAGACUCCAAAGAUAAGAAUCCUUAAGAACUAACUGUGGAAUGAGAAACACUGCCAAAUGGAGGCUGGGCACGGUCGCUCACACAUAAUCCCGGCACUUUGGGAGGCAAAGGUGGAUCACUUGAGCUCAGGAGUUCAAGACCAGCCUGAGCAACACAGUGAGAUCUCAUAUCUACAAAACAUCCGGAAAAUUAGCUGGGCGUCGUGACAUGUUCCUGUGGUACUAGCUCCUUGGAAGGCUGAGGUCGGGGUAUUGCUUAAGCCUGGAAGGUGAAGGCUGCUGCAGUGAGCCAUGAUAGCGCCACUGCACUCCAGCCUGGGCAACAGAGCAAGACCCUGUCUCAAAAAAAAAAAAAAAAAAAAA